UAUUGCUAAAUCAAUAUUAUUCAUGUCCUAAGAUGGGCCGUCGAAUCACUGCAUGAUGGAGCGUUAUUGUGCACAUAAUAAGUUAGAUUUACAUGUUUGUGUAUGACUGACAUCACUUUAAUCUCAUACAGUAUCUGCAACCGGUUAGAUUUAGAAUUAAAAAAUGAGAUGCAUCAUAUUGUCAUCGUCAAAAUUUGAUGAAAAUAAUACAAACAGAAAAUGGUGAGAAAUUAGCAUAAAACUGAAUCUGCUUGAAACAAUCGGUACAAAUCCAAUACACUACAAUAACAAAGCUAUCUCACAAAACAGUUUGUGUUAAAUCAAAACACCGAGAUUUGAUGAGCGAUAAAAAAAUCUUUUUCAUAUUCUACAAAAGUCUUAAAGUUAAAUCGAAUCUCGCACAAAUAGUUUGUCUUAUAUUCUUUCAGAACCACUGAAUAAAACUCAGAGAGAUAACAAGAAAAACCCAGAACCACUGAAUGAAACUCAGAGAGAUAACAAGAAAAACCCAGGCAUGGUUUCUGAUUUCAUCAAAAGCAUAACAAGCAGAACAAGCAUUGAAAGCUAUUUAAAGUACAAAAAAGAUAAGGGACACUCUGAUCAUGGCUGUGAAACAUAUAUGAUUCAUGAAGAUGCAUGAUCGCCACGUAGGAGUGUGGUUUAUAUGUCUCUGACUAAAGUAGACUUUAAUAAUCUUUAUAUUAUCUUAUUAUCUACUUGUCAUUGUGUGUAAACUUGACCACCUAAGAAUAUUGUUCAACUAUGUGCCAAAUCUCAUAACUAUUAUGUUUUUGUAAUGCAGGUGUAGUUAACAAAUAUAACAAAUUAGUUUUUUUUUUAAAUUAUCUGUCUUAUCUCUUUGAUAUUGAUAUGCAGUAUAGAGAUAUAUUGCAACAUGUAGUUAAAUGACCCUAAAACAUUUAACUACAUAUAAUCAUUCACAAAUGUGGCAGGUAUCGAACUCAAAAAGAUAUUGGUACCAGACGCCAUUAGGUCGGUGAUUAAUUUGUAGUCAUGUUUUUCUGCAAAAUAAACUUUAUAUGAUAAUUCAUUAUAAAUUUAUGACUACUUAUAACUCUGUGUCUGUGAUAACACUACGAAUUAAUUGUGCAACGUAUUGUCCAAUACAUUUUAUAAAUGACUAAUUUAAUAUUUAAUCGCACAAGUGCGGAACAUUACAUAAGUAUAAGUAAUGAGGAGUCAUAAUGUGAAUGCUAUGAAUUUAUCGACGUGAUCAAAUCAUUAAGCCCUUUUGGCUUUAUUUAAUAUCAUCACCAAUAAAUGAUUCCUUAUUUCUUAAAUACAACUGAUAAGUGUACUGUGUAGUAGUGAUGGUGUUGGGUUUUUUUAUUUUACACAAAUAUAUUUUGAUCCCCUUUUUGAGACAUUGAAACACGUUUAACAAUUAAAACACGAUAUAGGUUCUAAUAUCAAGAUCAUUCUUGAUGAAACGCAGUCUGGAGAGCUAGACUGUUAGUGGGCGUGAAUUGCUGCUUUAAACAUAAGUAGGAUAAAUUUGAUUGUCAUAAUAAUUAGUAUUUAUACAAAAAUAAAUUACGUUAUGUUUAUUUUUUCAUCAUAUACUUUUUGAGAUUUUUUUUUAAACUUCCGUUUUUUAAGCUUGGCAUGUUUUAGUGUAUCUUAAAAUAUAAAAACAUGCAUAAAGCGUAUCUUAUAUGUUUAAAUUAAGCAUUUAUUUAUUGUCUUUCGUUGUUACAUUGCAUGAUUAACUAAAUCAUAUACAUUUUUUAUGCAUAAAAUAUGUAAAAUGUACAUGUACAUAUGCAUGUAUGCAUAUUCCAUUGCUUGCUCUCUUUGGCAUACGAAACAGUUUUCUUUGCUGAUUCAACUGUAGACUCUAUCCAAAUUUUAAAAUUUCACUGUGUGUUUUUACAUAUAUAAUGUUAUUUAAGUUUUGUACUUGAGUUUUUGUUUUGUGUUUUGUGUUGUUUUUAUCAAUAAGUAAUGUUGCAAGAUGUAGCAAUGGUAUGAGUAUUUUAUAUCUUAAUUUAUGCUUUUAGAUUUUUUUUCUUUACCAAAAAAAAAAAAUACAAUGUUAUCUGAUGAUUUUUUUGUUUUAUUGUCUUUAUCAUGUUCAGGCUAGUUAUUAGUUGCAGGGUAUAUUUCCGUGUUUGAGAAACCUAAACGAAAGUAAUUUUCAUAAUAUUUGAAACAAAAACAAAUAUCAUUUUUAUUAUCUCUGUUUUUUUUUGGUUUUUUUUACUUUUUGUGCAUGUAAAUAAGUAGCCUUGUGUUUUUGUUACCGGUGGUGACGUCUAAAAGAAAAUCUUUUUGUUCAUUUUUAUUUAGGUGUUGUAUCACAAUGUAAGUAUUAUACCUCUUGCAACACUUAAAAAAGCUCCAAUUUUAUUUGACAAUUUCCAUUCACUAUCCCUUUAUGGUCAUUUUUUGUAAGAAGGAUAACUUUGUUGAAUAAUGUUGGCCACCAAAAAAGUUAAAAUUAUCUUUGUUGUGUUGAUAUCAUUUUAUUGUUACCCUUAAAUGCAUGGUUUAGGUCGGCGUUGGCGUUGGUGUUGUCGUAAACUUUUCACACUGUCAUCUUCUUCUCAAAAACCACUGGGAAGAUUUCAACCAAACUAAAGCAUCACUAGGUGAAGGGGAUUCAAUUUUGUUCAAAUGAAGGGCCACACCCUUUUUCAAAGGGAGAUAAUUAAUAUAUAUUCAGAAUUUGUUGGUAUUUUUCAAAAAUCUUCUUCUCAAAAACUAUAACGCUAGAUAAGCUGUAACUUGUACUGAAGCAUCCUCAGGUAGUGUAGAUUCACGUUUAAAUCAUGGUCCCCAGGGGAAGGGUGGGGCCACUAUGGGGGAAUGUAUUUUAACAUAAGAAUGUAUAGUGAAAAUCUUUAAAAACUUCUUCUCAAAAACUAUUUGGCCAAAAAAAAGCUUAAACUUGUGUGGAGGCAUCCUCAGGUUGUGUAGAUCUAGGUUUCUUCAAAUCAUGAUCCCAGGGAGAAGGGUGGGGCAAAAAUUGGGGGUUAAAUUUUAACAUAGGAAUAUAAAGAGAAAAGCUUUAAAAAUUUUCUUCUCAAAAACUAUUUGGCCAGAAAAGCUCAGAUUAAAGUGGAAGCAUCCUCAGAUAGUGUAGAUUCACGUUUGUACAAAUCAUGGUCCCAAGGGGAAGGGUGGGGCUACAAUGGGGGCUCACAUUUUUACAUAGGAAUAUUUAGAGAAAAUCUUUAAAAAUCUUCUUCUCAAAUACUAUUUGGACAGAAAAAGCUCAAAUUGAGUGGAGAAAUCCU